GACGAACGCUGGCGGCGUGCUUAACACAUGCAAGUCGAACGGAAAGGCCCUGCUUUUGUGGGGUGCUCGAGUGGCGAACGGGUGAGUAACACGUGAGUAACCUGCCCUUGACUUUGGGAUAACUUCAGGAAACUGGGGCUAAUACCGGAUAGGAGCUCCUGCUGCAUGGUGGGGGUUGGAAAGUUUCGGCGGUUGGGGAUGGACUCGCGGCUUAUCAGCUUGUUGGUGGGGUAGUGGCUUACCAAGGCUUUGACGGGUAGCCGGCCUGAGAGGGUGACCGGCCACAUUGGGACUGAGGUACGGCCCGGACUGCUACGGGAGGCAGCAGUGGGGAAUAGUGCAAAAUGGGCGGAAGGCUGAUGCAGCAACGCCGCGUGCGGGAUGACGGCCUUCGGGGUGUAAACCGCUUUCGCCUGUGACGAAGCGUGAGUGACGGUAAUGGGUAAAGAAGCACCGGCUAACUACGUG
rnacentral:rRNA from 1 species